rnacentral:piRNA from 1 species
UAAUUAAAACGCUAGAAGUGGGAAGA